GUGGGGAAUAUUGGGCAAUGGGCGAAAGCCUGACCCAGCAACGCCGCGUGAAGGAAGAAGGUCUUCGGAUCGUAAACUUCUAUCCUUGGUGAAGAUAAUGACGGUAGCCGAGAAGGAAGCCCCGGCUAACUACGUGCCAGCAGCCGCGGUAAUACGUAGGGGGCAAGCGUUGUCCGGAAUGAUUGGGCGUAAAGGGCGCGUAGGCGGCCUGGUAAGUCUGGAGUGAAAGUCCUGCUUUUAAGGUGGGAAUUGCUUUGGAUACUGUCGGGCUUGAGUGCAGGAGAGGUAAGUGGAAUUCCCGGUGUAGCGGUGAAAUGCGUAGAGAUCGGGAGGAACACCAGUGGCGAAGGCAGCCUCCUGGGAUGACACUGACGCUCAUGCACGAAAGCGUGGGGAGCAAACAGGAUUAGAAACCCCUGUAGUCC
rnacentral:rRNA from 1 species